UGAAUACAAAUGUGUAUGAAAGUGUGUGCGUGCAAUACCAUCGAAAAACGUCACUGAUUUUAGCAUUGGAACGAGGAAAAGAAGGCUGUUUCUCUGUACGAUAAGCGGAGUUAUGUAAACAGCGUUCACCCAUAUCAAAUCCGCAGCGGAUUGAUUAACAGCAUUUUCUCGCUCCAAAGAACAUUCUCCCGAAAAGAUAAUUAUUCUACACAGCAAAAAGAAUUGUAAUGAUGGUCGAUGCGAUGUUCACCGAUGCGCAUGGAAUUUAGACGUAAUGUGUAUGAAUGACAACUCUUCGCCGCCUGCCACAUCUCGUUCAUCAAAGACUUUUCCUGCGUGUGAUGUGUGAUAAUUUUGGUAUACAGAUUCUCUACUCGUGCUAGUCCGUCUUUAGCAGGAAAAGUUUGCUCAUCCCCUCCAAGUCUUCAAGAUUAGGAAGUGCGCAAUUCCAUAAGGUGUUCCCGAGGCCAGAUCAUCGAAAAAUUUUGUCGGCAUAGCUGCAUGUAUUACCAAAAAGACAGUUUGUUUACUGGACUACUUAUAGCUCGGCUGUGGUAUGGAGGUUAAUGAACGAUCGAUCAUCAAAUCAACCGAAGUAGGAAGGAUCAGCUAGAUUAUCGGAAUGACCAUGAAGAGGCCGGGAAAUUAGUACAGCUUUAAUUUGAUAAGAAGAACAGGCCAAACUUUAUCAUGUAUGAGACGUCGACUUCAGCGCAUGAGCGCAAAUCAAUCACACAACCGCGCCAUUGAAUGGACGUAUAAUCACAGAGAACAGACGUCCAACUCCAGUUUUGAAGUUGUAUAAAAUCGAAGACAUUUUCGAAUGUAGUUGAUAUAUCAUCACCAGGUGUGUUAGUAUCGUCAUUUCGUUUGGUAGCCGAGUUCGACUGGAUUUACAGGUUUACAUGGAACUUUCAAAAUGGCCGACAUUAUUACACCUCCACCCAGCCAAACCAUUCCGGAACCGAUUGAGUCGGAAUCGGUUGUUUCCUUUCCUUUGGAAUUUGUGAAAUGGCCUCCAAAGUAGUUAAAUUUUUCUUUCAAACACAAAUGUUUUAUUUAUUAACAAGUUAUAGGUUCGAACAUACCAAAUUUAUUAAAAUAUAGUUUGCUUUAAUGUAAAAUUUAGCUGACUACCAAAGCUUUCAUAUCACAUCUCUUUUCAUACUUUUUGUAGCGACUCACUCUAUCUUACUCAGGUGCACAGUUACCGCCGGAUAAAAUAUUGGCCCCAGAAACGCUUGAUAUAAUCUGUAGCUUUUUCAAAUCUUAAUAUGAUUGGACUAAAAAAGUGGAGUUCUUUAUUAGUAUGUUGUUAUUAUGCGCGCCAAAUUUAAUAGGUUAGAUCAUGUAUGGAUAAACCAAAAACGGUUUCAAGGGCGCGUAUAAUGACAACU